CCAUAGUUCAUAAUUCAUCGAGCUGUAAACGAGCUAGGGUCGUCUAUUUGGGCACGAGCUCGAGCUCAGCUCGUUCUAGAAGCGACGGAGGCGGCGGCGGCGGAGUCGGUGAAUCUGAAAAAAUUAAUUGACGAAAUGAUGUGUUUUUCUUUCAGUCGAUGGGGUGGAGGGUUGACAACGGCGGCGAAAAGUAGAGAAGACGAAUUGAAUGGUGAGGGGAUUGAUUUCGGGCGGUGUGGGGUGGGGUGGGGUGGGGUGGGGCGGUGCGGUGGUGAGAGAGAGGCGGCGGGUUCGGAAUUGGAGAUACAAUUUGGAGGGUUGUGUGUCCACGAUAUAAUUAUUUGUACGUAUUUUUCUUAUAUUGAAUUUAAUUAUUAAUUCUAAAAAUAAUUUGAAAUUACACAACACAAAAGUACAAAAUAAUUAAAUGAAUUAGAAAAUUUACAUUACAUGAUAAAAAAGGUUUUAGAAGAUUAAAAAAGAGAAUUUCAUAUCAUACUAUUUAUAUCACAUGCCAACAAAAUAUAAACAAUCCUAAUGGGCUAAAAAAAUAUAUUUGAAGACCGUAAUUACUAAUCGUAUAAAUUUGUACAUAUAUUAUUUUAGUCGGUAAAGCGAUAACAUGCAUAUAUAUUCUAUUAAAUGCAUAACUAUGUUAUUUUGUAUAAAUAAUCUUGUUUCAAAUUUGUUUAGAGACUAAAUAAACACUCAUUUAUCCAUACAAUUGAACAGCGGGAGAAAGUUUGUUGUUGAAAGAGGCCCAACAUUAGCCCAUUAUCAAAUACUAUAUUCUUACAAAUUAAUAAAUAGUACGUAUAUGUUUUUUUAAAUAUAAGAAACAUACAACGGAAACGCCACCACCAUACUACUCCGGCUUUAUUUUUAAUGUAUAUUUUAUAAAUUUAUAUUUAAACAUACUUACAAUUUAUCUCUUUUUAUAAAAAGUAUACAAAUUUCAUAUUGAUAGAUUUAUUGAAAUCGUGAAAGAGUCAAAGAAAAAUAAAUGUGAUACUAGAUGAGGAAAAUUUUCAUUAUUGCAUUUAUGUAGUGUUAUUUGAAAAGAUGUAAAUAUAUUCUUUAUAUAUAUACAUUGGCAAUUUCUUUUUAUAUUUUAAAAGUAUUAUUUUAUUUUAUAAAAAUUGUAUAAUUAAGUUCACAUAACUAUUAAUUAUACAACUAAAACAUAACAUGCUACUAAUAAUUUUCCUCCUAAUGAAAAUGGUGCCUUAAAUAUAUUUGCAUGGGUUUUUAGUUUUUACCUAUGGGUGUAAGCACUGAUCAAUUUGUCCAAAUUUGACCCAUGGGUGUAGCACUGAAUUUAUCUCCCCAAUAUUUUCAAAAUUUUUCUGUUUUCUAAAUUUACACACCAAUAUCUGAAGCACUUCAUCAAGUAGAAACGUUUGAAAAGAAAAAUAACAAUCAAGGUUUCAUUCAUAGCAAUAAGAAGUUAAUCCAAAAGUGUCAAAUUGCUCCACUGCCCUGAAUAAGCAAAACAAAAUGAAACAAACAGGGUAACAAAAACUGAAACAGGGUUGAAGGAAAGUAAAAUCUAACUCCCCAUCUCGGAGCAUAACGCCGUCAUUGCAAAAUAUUUAUAGAAAAUGUACGACAAAAGCUAUUACGCGUCUAAGAAGACAAUCAGCUAGUUACCUGGAGUCAUGUGGCAUUCCUAUGAUUAAAGACAUAACUUGGUAAGAUCAAUAAUCACAGAAAACCAAUUGAGCAGUUGGGGAGGAUCUUGGCAUUCUCAACAGUUUCUGUGAUGCCAAAAACAAAGAUUUUGAUGGACGUUGAGGUGGCAUGAUUCCUUUUACGUUGAUCACCAUCUUUUCUAGAUUGAUUGCGUAUUUUAACAGAUACUCUAAGAAUGGAAAUACGUCGUCAUCCUCAUCCCAAGUAACCACAACUGUCCUCAACUGCAGAAAGGACUUGGGAGGAUAUGCUUCAAACUUGAGGUAGCUCAUGGCAUCAAAGUUGAGUGACUCUCGGUUUUCAUGCGCCCCGUAUCCUCCACUCCAUACAAUGACUAACUUCUUUAAUUGAGGGAAACUCUCAAGUAGGCCUACUAAUAGUUUGUAGUCACUGAAACAAAAUCUGAGUUCUAAGGACUUGACAUUAGGAUAAGAGGAAUUNCCCGUAUCCUCCACUACAUACAAUGACUAACUUCUUUAAUUGAGGGAAACUCUCAAGUAGGCCUACUAAUAGUUUAGUAGUCACUGAACAAAAUCUGAGUUCUAAGGACUUGACAUUAGGAUAAGAGGAAUUCAUGCAUCUCUUUAUCAUAGCUCCAAGCACCUAAUGUAACAUAAGUUCAUAAAAUAAUCAGCUCACUGAAGCAAACACCAAGUAAGAUAAAAGGCAAGCAUUGAUUUUUAGGGAUGCAACAGUGACUUCAUCAAAUUAAAAGAAUGUCAAACAUUCCAUAUCAUUUAUGGUUAUUACAAUACUAACAUACAAGUCACAAGCUUGAUGCUACAAAGUAAUGCAUAUAUAAAUUCUAGAAUGGAUUUAAAAAGGCCAAAAAAUGGAUAGGAGUUAGUUGCAUGAUAAAUGUGGGAACUCUUAUAAGUGGUUCAGUUAAAGAAGCCAAUGAUGCAACAAAGAAAGCAUACAAACACCGCCAUGCCAUCCAAGCUGAGAUUCACAGAUUAAUUGAAGUUAGAAUUACGAGAACAUGACUAACAACUAUGCUAAAUAAAUAAUGAAAACUUCAUCAAUAUAUUUAGAAUUAAUUUGAUCUCUUCAGUCUCAUUGCUACUCUAUUAAUACAUAACAAAUGCAAGACACAUAAGAUAGUUUAAAGAAACCAAACCUUGAUGCAAAGAACAUUAAUUUGACGUUUACAACAUGUUGCAUGGUUGAGAGAAAUUGACAGAACACGUCUCCCAGAAAAUCAUCCUUGGUAAACAAGCCAAGCUUGGUGUCCAUCCAAGGAAAGACACUUUCAUUUCCAUCAAAUUCAUAACCAUGUAGACCAAAAAACCCAAGAGUUGCAUUGGUCAAAGAUGAGAUAUUCACCAACAUACUCUUUCUAUAUGGAACUCCUUCAAUUUCCAAGGUUUCAAGAUUCGGGGUACAAAUUCUCAGUUCGGAAUCCCACCAUAGUAGAUCUUCACGAGAACAAAAAAACUCGCGAAUCGACAGCACUUUCAAACUAGUAGAUCGGAUACACAAGUGUUCACCCAUAUCGACAAAAGACAUGAUCAAGACUUCCAACUGAGGACUACCACAAAGUAUCUGGUUAAUCAAAGUUCAGUGACCCCAAAGCCAUAAGUAAUUGUUAAACUUUUGAGUUGAUUCCACUGCACAUUCCCAUAUACUCUAAAGUUACAAUCCUCAAACGAUAACACCUUAAGCGAUGAGCACGAGUAUACACACUGUGGCACAUAGUAUAUGUCGUCCAUACUAUCAAAAUCAUCAUCCCAAUCUUUUGGUAACCUAAUAUGUAAGUAGAAUUCUUCGACCCCUUAUCUGCAAAUUGAACCACAAAUCAACCCAAAUAAUGGACCCAUCAUUCUGAUAAACCGAUUUGACCUUAUAACCCAUUUAACUUGAAUUUCAGAACCUUACCCCAUUCCAGCGAUAAGGCCCGAUUAACGAAGUUUUAAGCUUUCUAUCAUCAUAAUUCAUGCAUAUUGUCGAAAUUAAGGAGGUGCGGUGGUCCAAAGGUUUUUCCAGCGCUUCGAUAGAAUCGUUGUCCUAACAACAUCAGUCAUAGGCAACGACCAAAAUAUGUGAAAUAUUAACGAGUCCGGCAACUCACUGAGUCGAUCCAUGAAAACCUCUGAAACAUAUGAAGCAUCAAUGAAUGAAAUGAGCACAAAAACUCAGAAUUCACCUUUAA
rnacentral:lncRNA from 1 species